rnacentral:rRNA from 1 species
GCGCACCAGGCGAGAAUAGUCUACAAUGGACGAAAGUCUGAUAGUGCGACGCCGUGUGUGCGAUUAAUUCCUUCGGGAUGUAAAGCACUUUUCUAUGAGAUAAAAGCUCUUUAGGUUAAUAGCUUAUUGAGACGGAUAUUAUUAUAGGAAUAAGCUCCGGCUAACUCCGUGCCAGGCAGCCGCGGUAAUACGGAAGGAGCGAGCGGUUGUCCGGAUUUACUAGGCGUAAAGGGCUAGUAGGCGACUAAUUAAGUUAUAUGUUAAAUCCACGGCUCAACUGUGGUCCUGC